rnacentral:ncRNA from 1 species
CGCCCGGGCGGCGGCCCCGAGGCGGGAGUUGACGAGGUCCGGGUUCAUCGAAGUCUUCGGCGGAUGCCCGGCGGCCGUGUCGCAGGCCGGAUACAGGCUUCCGGCAAAACCGCCCGGCGACGGGCGGGACAAAC